rnacentral:rRNA from 1 species
UACGGAGGGUGCGAGCGUUGUCCGGAAUCACUGGGCGUAAAGGGCGCGUAGGCGGCGCGGGGAGUCAACGGUGAAAGCUCGGCGCUCAACGCCGAGUCGGCCGUCGAUACUCCCCGUGCUCGAGCACUGUAGAGGCAGGUGGGAAUUCCGGGUGUAGCGGUGGAAUGCGUAGAGAUCCGGAAGAACACCGGGUGGCGAAGGCGGCCUGCUGGGCCAGUAGCUGGACGCUGAGGCGCGACGCGUGGG